GACGAACGCUGGCGGCGUGCUUAACACAUGCAAGUCGAACGGUAAGGCCCUGCGGGGUACACGAGGUGCGAACGGGCGAGUAACACGUGGGUGAUCUGCCCUGCACUUCGGGAUAAGCCUGGGCAACUGGGUCCGAUACCGGAUACGACCACUGCCGGCAAGGGGGGAGGUGGAAAGCUUUUGCGGUGCGGGAUGGGCCCGCGGGCUAUCAGCUUGUUGGUGGGGGGAUGGCCUACCAAGGCGACGACGGGUAGCCGGCCUGGGAGGGUGAACGGCCACACUGGGACUGAGAUACGGCCCAGACUCCUACGGGAGGCAGCAGUGGGGAAUAUUGCACAAUGGGCGCAAGCCUGAUGCAGAGACGCCGCGUGAGGGAUGACGGCCUUCGGGUUGUAAACCUCUUUCAGCACCGACGAAGCGCAAGUGACGGUAGGUGCAGAAGAAGGACCGGCCAACUACGUGCCAGCCGCCGCAGUAA
rnacentral:rRNA from 1 species